CAAGUUGGUAGGAAGCCGAAAGGUUGACGACCCUUCGGGAGCUUGCACAGGUGCUGCAUGGCUGUCGUCAGCUCGUGUCGUGAGAUGUUCGGUUAAGUCCGCUAACGAGCGCAACCCUCGCUGUGUGUUAUAUGUGUCACACGGGACUGCCGGUCUUAAGCCGGAGGAAGGUGGGAUGAUGUCAAGUCAGCAUGGCCUUUAUAUCCUGGGCUACACACACGCUACAAUGGCCAACACAAUAGGUUGCUAAGCCGCGAGGUGGCGCCAAUCCAUAAAGUUGGUCUCAGUUCAGAUUGUAGGCUGCAACCCGCCUGCAUGAAGAUGGAGUUGCUAGUAACCGCAGGUCAGCUAUACUGCGGUGAAUACGUUCCCGGGGCUU
rnacentral:rRNA from 1 species